rnacentral:piRNA from 1 species
UUGAUUUGUAUUUAUAUGACC